AACGAACGCUGGCGGCGCGCUUAACACAUGCAAGUCGAACGAGAAGGCGUAGCAAUACGCUUGUACAGUGGCGAACGGGUGAGUAAUACGUGGGCGACCUACCCUCGAGUGGGAAUAACCCGCCGAAAGGCGGGCUAAUGCCGCGUACGCUUCCAUCUUUAUGGAGGUGGAAGGAAAGCCGUGCCGUGGGCACGGCGCUCAAGGAUGGGCUCACGUCCUAUCAGCUUGNGGUAGGGUAACGGCCUACCAAGGCUCCGACGGGUAGCUGGUCUGAGAGGACGAUCAGCCACACUGGCACUGCGACACGGGCCAGACUCCUACGGGAGGCAGCAGUGAGGAAUAUUGCGCAAUGGGCGAAAGCCUGACGCAGCGACGCCGCGUGGGGGAGU
rnacentral:rRNA from 1 species